rnacentral:lncRNA from 1 species
CCUCAACCUCCUACAUCUCAGCCCUGACCCGUUCCUGACCUCCUUGGACCAUCCCUGAACCUUGGGCCCAUCCCAGCCUCCUUCAACCCAUCCUCAUCAGUCCUUCCUCGUCCUCCUGGGCCCAUCCCAGCCUCCCUCGGCCCUUCCUCAUCCUCCUCGGCCCGUCCUCAUCCUCCUCAGUUCACCUCAGCCUCCCUCAACCCAUCCUCGUCCUCCUCAACCCAUCCUCAUCCGUCCUUCCUCGUCCUCCUGGGCCCAUCCCAGCCUCCCUCAGCCCUUCCUCAUCCUCCUGGGCCCUUCCUCAUCCUCCUCGGCCCACCCCAGCCUCCCUUGGCCCUUCCUCAUCCUCCUCAACCCAUCCUCAUCCUCAACCCAUCCUCAUCCGUCCUUCCUCAUCCUCCUGGGCCCUUCCUCAUCCUCCUCGGCCCACCCUUGUCCUCCCUCAGCCCAUCCUCGCGUUCCUCAGCCCUUCCUCAUCCUCCUGGGCCCAUCUUCAUCCUCCUCCUCCUCAGCCCACCCCUUGGCCCCGCCCCCUCCCCCCGGGGGCAGGGGGGGGUCGGAGGUCGGGGGAAUAAAGGCAGCUCCUCCUCGCCCCACCCGCCUGGUUCGUCCCCGAGGUCCCGGGUGCGGGGACAUCCCAGCCGUGGGGAGGUGGGAGGGGCCUGUCACGGGGACACCGUGGGGCUGGGGACGUCCCGGCCACGGGAACGGGAGACACUGUGGCCACGAGGACACGGGACGUCCCGGCCGUGGGGACAUCUCAGCUGUGGGGGACAAGGAACAUCCCAACCGUGGAGACACCUCGGUUCUGUGGAGCUCCCAACCAUGGGGACAUGCCAGCCAUGGGGAUGAGGGACAGCCCGGCCAUGGGGACACCUCAGCGGUGGGGACACCCCAGCUAUGGGGACAAGGAACAUCUCAACCAUGGGGACACCUCGGCUCUGUGGAGCUCCCAACCAUGGGGACACAGCAGCCACGGGGACGAGGGACAGCCCGGCCAUGGGGACACCUCAGCGGUGGGGACACCUCAGCUGUGGGGGACAAGGAACAUCUCAACCGUGGGGACACCUCGGCUCUGUGGAGCUCCCAACCAUGGGGACAUGCCAGCCACGGGGAUGAGGGACAGCCCGGCCAUGGGGACACCUCAGCGGUGGGGACACCCCGGCUAUGGGGACAAGGAACAUCUCAACCAUGGGGACACCUCGGCUCUGUGGAGCUCCCAACCAUGGGGACAUGCCAGCCAUGGGGACGAGGGACAGCCCGGCCAUGGGGACACCUCAGCGGUGGGGACACCCUGGCUAUGGGGACAAGGAACAUCCCUGCCAUGGGGACACCUCGGCUCUGUGGAUCUCCCAACCAUUGGGACAUGCCAGCCAUGGGGAUGAGGGACAGCCCAGCCAUGGGGACACCUGGGCCAUGGGGACACCUCAGUGGUGGGGACACCCCGGCUACGGGGACAAGGAACAUCCCUGCCAUGGGGACACCUCGGCUCUGUGGAGCUCCCAACCAUGGGGACAUGCCAGCCAUGGGGACGAGGGACACCUUGGCCAUGGGGACAAGGAACACUCCAGCCAUGGGGACACCCUGGCCACGGGGACAUCUGGGCCAUGGGGACACCUCUGCUGUAGGGACAUCGCAGCCAUGGGGACAAGGGACACCACGGCCAUAAGGACAUCCCAGCUGUGGGGAUGAAGGACAUCCUGGCCAUGGGGACACCUGGGCCACGGGGACACCUCUGCUGUAGGGACAUCGCAGCCACGGGGACGAGGGACACCCCGGCCACGAGGCCACCGCUGCCGUGGGGAUGAGGGACGUCCCCGCCGUGGGGACACCCCAACCGCGCAGGUGYCCCCGCCACGAGAUUUCCCCACCCACGAAGACGAGGACACGCGGGACACAGCGGCCACGUGUCCCCCCACCGCCGCCACGCCACCCCGGGGGACAGACCCACAGAGAGACGGGCGGGUGGUGGCCGUGGGGCCCCCGAGGGCGCCACAAGGUUUAUUCCGAGUGACAACGGUGGCGGUGGGAAGAGGACAACCGCCCACCGCGAGGACGGCCGCGCCACCGGGGGGAUCCCGUUGGGAUGAGGGGCCCGGAGAACCCAGGGGGCCNNNNNNNNNNNNNNNNNNNNNNNNNNNNNNNNNNNNNNNNNNNNNNNNNNNNNNNNNNNNNNNNNN